rnacentral:rRNA from 1 species
AACGAACGCUGGCGGCAUGCCUAAUACAUGCAAGUCGAACGAGCCUUUCGGGGCUAGUGGCGCACGGGUGCGUAACGCGUGGGAAUCUGCCCUUGGGUUCGGAAUAACGUCGGGAAACUGACGCUAAUACCGGAUGAUGACGUAAGUCCAAAGAUUUAUCGCCCAGGGAUGAGCCCGCGUAGGAUUAGCUAGUUGGUGAGGUAAAGGCUCACCAAGGCGACGAUCCUUAGCUGGUCUGAGAGGAUGAUCAGCCACACUGGGACUGAGACACGGCCCAGACUCCUACGGGAGGCAGCAGUAGGGAAUAUUGGACAAUGGGGGCAACCCUGAUCCAGCAAUGCCGCGUGAGUGAUGAAGGCCUUAGGGUUGUAAAGCUCUUUUACCCGGGAUGAUAAUGACAGUACCGGGAGAAUAAGCCCCGGCUAACUCCGUGCCAGCCGCCGCUGUAACAC